AUGUUGAUGCACAAAGGUUUGCCGGAAAGAACUGAUGUGAGUAGUCCUCGGGAAGGGUUUUGUGACGUUACCUCGUACCGGCUAGGUUUGUCACCGCGACAAACUGAAAGAAAACACUAA
rnacentral:sRNA from 1 species